UACGAAGGGGGCGAGCGUUGUCCGGAAUUAUUGGGCGUAAAGAGCUCGUAGGCGGUCUGUCGCGUCUGCUGUGAAAACUCGGGGCUUAACCCCGGGCCUGCAGUGGGUACGGGCAGACUAGAGUGCGGUAGGGGAGACUGGAAUUCCUGGUGUAGCGGUGAAAUGCGCAGAUAUCAGGAGGAACACCGGUGGCGAAGGCGGGUCUCUGGGCCGUAACUGACGCUGAGGAGCGAAAGCAUGGGGAGCGAACAGG
rnacentral:rRNA from 1 species